GACGAACGCUGGCGGCGUGCUUAACACAUGCAAGUCGAACGGAAAGGCCCCUUUGGGGGUACUCUUGUGGCGAACGGGUGAGUAACACGUGAGUAACCUGCCCUUGACUUCGGGAUAACUUCAGGAAACUGGGGCUAAUACCGGAUAGGAAUCCUUGCCGCAUGGUGGGGGUUGGUAAGCUUCGGCGGUUUUGGAUGGACUGGCGGCUUAUCAGCUUGUUGGUGGGGUAGUGGCUUACCAAGGCGUUGACGGGUAGCCGGCCUGAGAGGGCGACCGGCCACAUUGGGACUGAGAUGCGGCCCAGACUCCUACGGGAGGCAGCAGUGGGGAAUAUUGCACAAGGGGCGGAAGCCUGAUGCAGCAACGCCGCGUGCGGGAUGACGGCCUUCGGGUUGUAGACCGCUUUCAGCAGGGGCGAAGCUUGUGGUGACGGUACCUGCAGAAGAAGCACCGGCUAACUACGUG
rnacentral:rRNA from 1 species